AUUGAACGCUGGCGGCAUGCCUUACACAUGCAAGUCGAACGGUAACAGGUCUUCGGAUGCUGACGAGUGGCGAACGGGUGAGUAAUACAUCGGAACGUGCCCGAUCGUGGGGGAUAACUACUCGAAAGAGUAGCUAAUACCGCAUACGAUCUACGGAUGAAAGCGGGGGAUCUUCGGACCUCGUGCGGACGGAGCGGCCGAUGGCAGAUUAGGUAGUUGGUGGGAUAAAAGCUUACCAAGCCGACGAUCUGUAGCUGGUCUGAGAGGACGACCAGCCACACUGGGACUGAGACACGGCCCAGACUCCUACGGGAGGCAGCAGUGGGGAAUUUUGGACAAUGGGCGAAAGCCUGAUCCAGCAAUGCCGCGUGCAGGAUGAAGGCCUUCGGGUUGUAAACUGCUUUUGUACGGAACGAAAAGACUCCUUCUAAUACAGGGGGUCCAUGACGGUACCGUAAGAAUGAGCACCGGCUAACUACGUGCCAGCAGCCGCGGUAACAC
rnacentral:rRNA from 1 species